rnacentral:rRNA from 1 species
AGGGUUUGAUCCUGGCUCAGGAUGAACGCUGGCGGCGUGCUUAACACAUGCAAGUCGAACGAACCUUCGGGUUAGUGGCGGACGGGUGAGUAACGCGUGGGAAUCUGCCCUCAGGAGGGGGAUAACGGCCGGAAACGGCCGCUAAUACCCCAUAUGCCGAGAGGUGAAAUGAAUUUCGCCUGAGGAUGAGCCCGCGUCUGAUUAGCUAGUUGGUGAGGUAAGAGCUCACCAAGGCAUCGAUCAGUAGCUGGUCUGAGAGGAUGAUCAGCCACACUGGGACUGAGACACGGCCCAGACUCCUACGGGAGGCAGCAGUGGGGAAUUUUCCGCAAUGGGCGAAAGCCUGACGGAGCAACGCCGCGUGAGGGAUGAAGGCCUCUGGGCUGUAAACCUCUUUUAUCAAGGAAGAAGAUCUGACGGUACUUGAUGAAUAAGCCACGGCUAAUUCCGUGCCAGCAGCCGCGGUAAUACGGGAGUGGCAAGCGUUAUCCGGAAUUAUUGGGCGUAAAGCGUCCGCAGGCGGCCCUACAAGUCUGCUGUUAAAAAAGUGGAGCUUAACUCCAUCAUGGCAGUGGAAACUGUUGGGCUCGAGUGUGGUAGGGGCAGAGGGAAUUUCCCGGUGUAGCGGUGAAAUGCGUAGAUAUCGGGAAGAAACACCAGUGGCGAAGGCGCUCUGCUGGGCCAUCACUGACGCUCAUGGACGAAAGCCAGGGGAGCGAAAGGGAUUAGAUACCCCUGUAGUCCUGGCCGUAAACGAUGAACACUAGGUGUCGGGGGAAUCGACCCCUCCGGUGUCGUAGCCAACGCGUUAAGUGUUCCGCCUGGGGAGUACGCACGCAAGUGUGAAACUCAAAGGAAUUGACGGGGGCCCGCACAAGCGGUGGAGUAUGUGGUUUAAUUCGAUGCAACGCGAAGAACCUUACCAGGAUUUGACAUCCUGACGAAUCUCUUGGAAACUUGAGAGUGCCUUCGGGAGCGCAGUGACAGGUGGUGCAUGGCUGUCGUCAGCUCGUGUCGUGAGAUGUUGGGUUAAGUCCCGCAACGAGCGCAACCCACGUCUUUAGUUGCCAGCAUUUAGUUGGGCACUCUAGAGAGACCGCCGGUGAUAAACCGGAGGAAGGUGUGGAUGACGUCAAGUCAUCAUGCCCCUUAUAUCCUGGGCUACACACGUACUACAAUGCUACGGACAAAGGGCAGCAAGUUCGCGAGGACAAGCAAAUCCCAUAAACCGUAGCUCAGUUCAGAUCGUAGGCUGCAACUCGCCUACGUGAAGGAGGAAUCGCUAGUAAUCGCAGGUCAGCAUACUGCGGUGAAUACGUUCCCGGGCCUUGUACACACCGCCCGUCACACCAUGGAAGUUGGCCAUGCCCGAAGCCGUUACUCCAACCCUUGUGGAGGAGGACGUCGAAGGUGGGGCUGAUGACUGGGGUGAAGUCGUAACAAGGUAGCCGAAGGGCGAAUU